UCCAUUGAAGCGGCGUACGCUGGUCUUUCAUUCCUCCAUUAAAGCUGAGUUGAGAAUUACCACCAUCAGUAACACCUUGACAAGAUGGAGGGAGAUCUAGUAUGCUUCACUAGACCACCGCUGCACCGCACCACCAAAAGUCAGUUCCACCACCGCCGCUAACACAACUGACAUCGCCAGGGGUUUGGGUUUCUGCUAGGAUGAUCACUGACCCGGGAGUCUAGAGAGGACCUAAAUAUUUCUCAUACUUCCUAACCAGGUAUCACUACAUUUGCCUUGUUUCAUUAUAUUAGUAUAUAUUGUUUCAAACCUGCCUAAACUUGGUAAAGCAGGAUAUGUACUGCUCAAACAGCAAGGAGUUACAACGAGUAAAUGAAUGCCCUGGUAUUAUAGUCUCAGAAUGACGCUUGCCUAUUAUAGUCACAAUGUAGAGUUAACCAAUAAUGUAUAAGCAACUUCCCUUGCUUAGGGACUUAGAGAGG